CCUACGGGUGGCAGCAGUGGGGAAUAUUGCGCAAUGGGCGAACGCCUGACGCAGCGACGCCGCGUGAGGGAUGAAGGUCUUCGGAUCGUAAACCUCUGUCAGCAGGGAAGAACAGUCACUUUGCUAAUCAUCCGUGAAUUGACGGUACCUGCAAAGGACGCACCGGCUAACUCCGUGCCAGCAGCCGCGGUAAUACGGAGGGUGCGAGCGUUUAUCGGAAUUACUGGGCGUAAAGCGCUCGUAGGCGGUAUGUCAAGUCAUGGGUGAAAGCCCCGCGCUCAACGGGGGAACUGCCUUUGAAACUGGGAGACUGGAGUGUGGGAGAGGAGAGUGGAAUUCCAGGUGUAGCGGUGAAAUGCGUAGAUAUCUGGAGGAACAUCAGUGGCGAAGGCGACUAUCUGGCACAUAACUGACGCUGAGGAGCGAAAGCGUGGGUAGCAAACAGGAUUAGAUACCCUGGUAGUC
rnacentral:rRNA from 1 species